AGAGUUUGAUCCUGGCUCAGGACGAACGCUGGCGGCGCGCCUAACACAUGCAAGUCGAACGAGCGAGAGAGAGCUUGCUUUCUCAAGCGAGUGGCGAACGGGUGAGUAACGCGUGAGGAACCUGCCUCAAAGAGGGGGACAACAGUUGGAAACGACUGCUAAUACCGCAUAAGCCCACAGCUCGGCAUCGAGCAGAGGGAAAAGGAGCAAUCCGCUUUGAGAUGGCCUCGCGUCCGAUUAGCUAGUUGGUGAGGUAACGGCCCACCAAGGCGACGAUCGGUAGCCGGACUGAGAGGUUGAACGGCCACAUUGGGACUGAGACACGGCCCAGACUCCUACGGGAGGCAGCAGUGGGGAAUAUUGCACAAUGGGGGAAACCCUGAUGCAGCGACGCCGCGUGGAGGAAGAAGGUCUUCGGAUUGUAAACUCCUGUUGUUGAGGAAGAUAAUGACGGUACUCAACAAGGAAGUGACGGCUAACUACGUGCCAGCAGCCGCGGUAAAACGUAGGUCACAAGCGUUGUCCGGAAUUACUGGGUGUAAAGGGAGCGCAGGCGGGAAGGCAAGUUGGAAGUGAAAUCCAUGGGCUCAACCCAUGAACUGCUUUCAAAACUGUUUUUCUUGAGUAGUGCAGAGGUAGGCGGAAUUCCCCGUGUAGCGGUGGAAUGCGUAGAUAUCGGGAGGAACACCAGUGGCGAAGGCGGCCUACUGGGCACCAACUGACGCUGAGGCUCGAAAGUGUGGGUAGCAAACAGGAUUAGAUACCCUGGUAGUCCACACUGUAAACGAUGAUUACUAGGUGUUGGAGGAUUGACCCCUUCAGUGCCGCAGUUAACACAAUAAGUAAUCCACCUGGGGAGUACGACCGCAAGGUUGAAACUCAAAGGAAUUGACGGGGGCCCGCACAAGCAGUGGAGUAUGUGGUUUAAUUCGACGCAACGCGAAGAACCUUACCAAGUCUUGACAUCCUGCGACGCACAUAGAAAUAUGUGUUUCCUUCGGGACGCAGAGACAGGUGGUGCAUGGUUGUCGUCAGCUCGUGUCGUGAGAUGUUGGGUUAAGUCCCGCAACGAGCGCAACCCUUAUGGUCAGUUACUGCGCAAGAGGACUCUGGCCAGACUGCCGUUGACAAAACGGAGGAAGGUGGGGAUGACGUCAAAUCAUCAUGCCCUUUAUGACUUGGGCUACACACGUACUACAAUGGCGUUAAACAAAGAGAAGCAAGACCGCGAGGUGGAGCAAAACUCAGAAACAACGUCCCAGUUCGGACUGCAGGCUGCAACUCGCCUGCACGAAGUCGGAAUUGCUAGUAAUCGCAGAUCAGCAUGCUGCGGUGAAUACGUUCCCGGGCCCUGUACACACCGCCCGUC
rnacentral:rRNA from 1 species